rnacentral:lncRNA from 1 species
GGAAUGAGGAGAGCCACGGCCACCUUCAGAGGGGCCAAGGAGGAGUCUGAAGAGAGAAAGUUUCAGCAGCUUCCCCCCAGUCUUCAGCCAGGAGAUGGAGCACAUCCUGUGGGGCACGUGGUGACCAGGGGGGACACAGUGCUGGCUGAGUGGGAUUUGUGAAGGAGCUCUGGGAACAAGUGUCCCCAUGGGCUGGGGACACGGGGACAGCAAUGGGGGCCUUGCACCGUGACCCUUCAGGGCUGGGACAUGGAAAAAUGGGCUGGUGGGGACAGGAGAGCAAGGGGCCGUGCUGGAUGAGCUGGGGGGACCUGGCACAAAUAUCCUGGCACAAAUAUCCUGGCACAAAUAAAUACCCAUCACAAAUGUCCAUCUCCACCUGGGGGUGGCUGGAGGGGCACCGGGGUCCCAGCUCUCCCCAGGAGCCCCUGGGAUGCGAGGAGGUGCAGGAGCUCGAGGUGCCCCCCGCAGCCCCCUUUAGGGCGAACAUUUCCACCCCUGCUGCCUGCCUGGGGGAGCGCUGCCUCACCCGGUCCUGCUCAGGAGAUUUGGGUCCCCCCCUCACCCCGCUGAGCCCCAGGGCUCAGCCCCACGCCACUGUGCACCCAGGGGCCCGUGACGGCUCUCGGGGCGUGGGAGGGGACGUGCUGGUGGCGCUGGGGCCGCGGGGAGGGGGCCGGUCCCCGCGGCCGUGCUUCGCUGGUCCCAUCUGCCACGGCUCGCAGCCAACUUCUGCUUCUGCGAGCGCCGGCCUCACUUCUCCUUUGCACCCCGAGACGGGCAACCGCCAGGCAGCGGGGCCACCCCACAGGCACCCCACAGAGCCGGGCGGGAGCCAGCAGGGAUCGGGACUUGCCCGGCAUCUUCCCGCAUGGCACAGAGCGUGCUCUACGCCGACCUGCGCUUCGCCAAGGGGCCGGGGGGCCGUGGCACGGCCAGCCAGGCACUGGAGGCAGCCUUAG